ensembl:snRNA U6 U6 spliceosomal RNA
UUGCUUCAGCAGCACAUUAAUAUUUAAAGUGGAGUGGCGCAGAGAAGAAUAGCAUGGUCCCUGGACAAGGACGACGCAAAAGGUUUCCAGAGAGUAAACAUUUUA